UAGAACCCCAUGUUGUACACAGUUUUCCUUUACUCAGUACAGUCUUUCAAUUUUUUUUUUAAUUCAAACUGUUUUAUUCAAAUCGGCUGAAGUGUUGAAUUGCAUUCUUGUGUAAAAUCCCUAGUGAGUAUUUGCUCCGUAACAACAACAUUCCCCUCAUGUCUUUGGUAAACUGUAUUUUAAUUGAUGUCAGUCAGGAUUGUUUCAAUUUAGUUAUAGUUAAAUACCACCAUUCUUCAAACUGUGGUAUUGCUGUGUAAAUGUCUCAGUGUUCAGCUAUGGUUUAUGCGAGCUGGGGAUGUUGGGAUGUUUGUGGCUAACUUGUCUCUUCUGGGGGAUCUUAUAUUUUAUCUUGCCUUUUCGUGUGUCUUUCUGUAGACAUAUCUGAAGAGAUGGAUUAAGAAUGCUUUGGAUUAAAGGAUUGUGGAGCACAUGUCAAUCAUUUUAGGAUUGUCAAAAGGAGGAUUGAGGAGGAUCAGAUCAAUAAUGGAGGCAAUGGUAUGACUCCAAGUGCUAUUGUCACAGAUGAACUUGGCAGUAUUGACCUUAUACUGAGACAGGUGAAUUGAGAACGUGCGCCUGCGUGUCACUUCUUCAGGCACCUCUUGGUCACUGCAGGCUACAAUUGCUCUUCUCUUUAAAACCCUCUUGGCAAUUGUGGCUCAGUACUUGCUGUUGUAAAUCCUUAUUCCAUUCUAGUUUUUUUUAAAGGAGUAAACCGGGACAGGGGUGGGAGUAUUGGUUUACUUUGUCGUGCAGCAUUUGGUUACAAGUGUUAAUGUUCCGUAGUACUUCUACACUUGCAGAUCAAGGGUAUCUUUAAAUCCGAGUAUAAUAUCAAUACUGCUAAAAUCUGCAUGUCCUCUGUGUGACUGAUACAGCGUUGCUAUUUCAUUUUUUUAAAGUAUCAGAAUGAAAGAAAAAAAAUAAGAGAACCUAGUUGGGAAUAGUUUGUCAGCCCUUCCCCCAGACUAAUUCAGAUUUGACUCACCGGUAUGCUUGAAAACUGCAGUUAGUUAACUUUGUUACCUUCCAGCUAGGGGUGCUAGCUGUAGCUUAGACGUGCAGUAGGCGGAUAGCUUUAGCAGUAAACUUUUCCAAUUUCAUAAACAUUUUUUGCAACCACAAAACCUGUAGCACACCACCGUACAAGCAAUGAGUAUGUUGGCAUUUUCAGUUGACAUAUGUAAAUAUUACAGUGUUUCCUCCAAAUAAUUAACAUUUCUUAAAAAAAAAAAAAAUAGCAUCACCAUUCAGAAGCUUGUUUUGGGGAAUUGAUAGUUAUUAAUGUACAUCUGUAUUAAUUGAUGGCAAACAUAACUGAUCAUUCCCCAGAAUCCUAUUUUUUCAUUGCAGUAUCUAACUUUUUGCCUCCUCUUUUUGGUUUUGCUGGUUAUAAAGGUUUGGAUUGGAGAGGGCUCACUGGAUCCCAAUCCUUGGAGCUGGAUCAUUGGAUUCAAAUCAUAAUGUGGAUAGGAUAGGGAGGCUGAAUGGCAAGGAUUCAUGGAGCGGGAUCAGAUUACCAGGAACGUAGGAGUGGAUUCCUGCCCCAACCAAACCGCAUUCGUGUGGAUUUUUUAUUCAACUCAAUUGGCUAUUCCAAAGAUUUUUCUUUCCUAUUUUUGACGAUUGGAGCCCUUAUGAUGCACGAUGGAAUUUUUCAUUUUUUGGUAAAAGGAGCAAAGCGAGGACCUGGAGAGGUACGCUGGAGCAAUCUCCUUGGAAGGAUUCAGCACGAGUAGAUGGUAAACGUUAAAUGGGAAAAAGGGGGGUUUGUUUAAACAAAAAAAAAAAAGUCAUUUCUCUAAAUUUAAAGUCAAAAAUUGGAGUUUAAGUAGGCUUUCAAUUGGCUAUUGCGUUUUUUUUUUCUUUGACAAAUAAAAUUUUUUAAAAAUCACGCAUGGCUGUCAUCAUUUGCUGAUUAAAGUCUGCUUACCACAGGAGCUGCAGCAUUGUUCACAUUAGCAGACAAAAGGCUCUUGUGUUCAACAACGAUCUGCUGUUCCGCAGGAAGCGCCGGCGUUGGAGCUCCUGCACGAAGGAACGGGUGCCCUGUGGGACACGGAUGGAAUUUAUUAGUUAGGGGAAAAGAAGAAAGAGUUCUAACCGCUAACAAAAGGUGCUUUACUUCUGGUAAUGAUAACAACUGGAGUGAUUGUGCAAGAGAAGUGUGAGAUCAGCCAGGCCCAGCAUUCCCCCCUGCCUUCCUCAGAAACUGCUCAGACACUGCAGGCUGUGUCCCCACACCUGGCUUCUCCAGUACUGGCAGACUUGGAGACUGCGUGCAGGAGGCACAUCUAGCAUGAAGGAUGUGGAUGUUCCUUCGGUUUCCUGAUGAGAAACUUCUGCUUUAGAGCAGCAGAGCCUCCCUCCCUCCUCACUCUGGUAGCGGCAGUCAGGGCUCCAGGGCUCUGCCCCACCUGCAGCAGCUGGCUUCUCCAUCCACAGCACAGUCCUAACAAUUCCUGGUUCUGCCAGGAGUAGCUGCAGCUUUGGUAGAAAGCUGAAUGAAUAACAGAUGGGAUUCCACGCAGUUCCUAAGUAAGGACCCUUCCCUGAAGUCUUUCCUAUGUGCACGAGGGCAGCAGGGGCUCAGGCUGCAGUGCUCCGUGCGCAGCUGCUCCGGUCGUGCUUUGUGCUGCCUUCAUGCAGCUGCUGUGCAGCACGUGGCCAUUGCCCGGCAUGGAGAAGGGCUCCAUUGGGAUGCAGCAGGAGCAGGGCCGGAGGCACAGCCAGGUCCCGUUGGCUUUGCCCAUCCUGUGCUGCUCAGCCUGCUGCGUACCAGAGGGCUGAGUGUCUGUGAACCAGUUGUGGGGCUAUUAACAUAAUUUUAUGCACUAAUUUGUGUGAUCAUUAAAGAGUUGAAAAGGCCAUUGUUCACAUGAGUAAUUACCUCUGUGUUCUAAUAGCUUUAAUUCAUCCUGUAAGUGAGUUUCAUAUUUGUGUGACUCAGCUGAAGAUUCGUGCUUUGGCUAUAAUACGAUUUGAAAGUCUUCAUUGCUUAUGAGGGUGGGUGGUGCUGGGGGCUGUGACCCCACACAGCUGCGAGUGCAGGCCGUGUUACCACGGGGUGAGCUGAGGCUGCGGGGAACCUCCUGCCCCUGGGGUGGCACGCGUGGCCUCUGAGAGCAGAGAUUUCAAAACGAGCGAGUUCCAUAGCCCGGCGGUGUGCUGCGCCCCGGGGGUCCUCCUCGCAGCAAACAGCAGGGCUGUGCUCUUCUGGAGACUUUCGGUACUGCGUUAGCAAUGGGGAAAACUUCCUCUGCACCGCUUUGCAGCGGGUGUGGAUCUGCCUUCUUUUGCUCUGUGUGUGUGUGUGUGUGUGUGUGUGUGUGUGCAUCCCUGAGAGGCAGCUGCAGGAGCUGCAGGUGGAGGAGCUGCAGGCAGAGGAGCAGCGGUGGCACGGCGCGCCCUGACUUCGCACGGCCAGCACUGCUGCGCAGCUCAGCCUCCAGCGGAGGUCUCCCCACGUACAUCCCUGCCCGCACACAGCAGCCGCCUCUCAGCCUGGGGUUGUGCCCCCGCUCUGCACAGCAGAGCCUCCCCGGCACGGCGCACAGCAGGCGAAUGCGCCAGCAUUGAUUACGCUGAGAAAAUCCAUAACUGCCAAAUGAGAUUAACUCCCCUACGCGCACGGGCACAGGUCCCGCUCAAAGCAAACAGCAGAGAAUAAACAACGCGGGCGCACGGCACGAGUGGGGCUGGAGCUGCGCCCGCUGCCCACAGCGCCCGGGGGCGGCUCCGUGGCUGCGGGUGGGCAGGAGGCAGCGGCUGCUGGGCUGUAUGGCUGCCGGUGUCGGAGCAGGGAUUACUGCUCGGAUUUCCCUCGUUCACGGCCGCGCUGUUCUGUGCGGCGCUGACCCGACGUGCGCGACCGCGUGGCACUGCUGGCCAGGCAGAUGGUGGGAAGGGAGCGGGGCAGGAGCGGAUGUUUCUGCACAGCCCUCGGCCCCAAAGGAAUUAUGACUAAAAAUGGUCACUGGUGAUGAAGCGGAGGAGCUGUGCUGCUGUGUGAUUGCUUCUCUCGCUGCCGCCUGAAGUUUCAAAUCAAGCGCAGAGCUGGGAAGCAGCAAACGUGGCACCAGCGUGGUGCCAGGUCUCUGAGCUGCAGGAGACGAAGAAUUCUGGUGCUGUGCACCACGUGUAUGUGUGGAGCCGAGGGAUGGCAGCAGAUCUGAUGCUCAGUGUGGGUGGGUGGCACUGCUGGCACCGUACUGCUGGGUGUCCCUAAGAAGUGCCACUGCUACAGCCUUUCCCUGGGUCAACGUGAGGGUGUGAAAUGUGCCAAGGAUGGCAGCGAGGCCGGCAGCUGACGUGGUGGUUCUGAGCAGUGUGAAUGGGACGGCAAUGUGGCAGCAGCAGUGUGGUGGGAAAAGCUCCGGUGGAAUAGGCAACAUAGUACUGCAGGGCUGUGCAGCACUCCCAGCAUGGGGCAGCCCCAAGCUCAAGGUGCUGAGCGGAGAUUAGUGAGCGCCCAGCUGAGGGCAAGGAGGUGGAAAGAGAUAACGCUGCUUCCCCAGCGCAGGGCUAAACAUAGCUGCACUGCUGCUCGCCUGCAGGCACAGCCAGGGCCGUGCUGGGCACAGCGUGGGAGCACCGUGCUGCCGUUGGAAAGCUGUGUUAGCAUCUGUCACUCACGGGGCUGCAGGGAUGUGAGUUGGUGGGACGGUAGAGAUGGGAGCCAUUGGCAAUGGCUGCCUGGAUCUGUUUGAAGAGGAAGUCGAGGCUGCGUGGAGAGCAAAUAGAGAAGGCACGAAGUUGGGAAAGCAGCAAAAGGGAACUGCCCCUGGCAGCGAUCUCGGUGACGCCAUCCCCGCUUAUUGACACACUCGAGGGCUCUUCAGCCGCGCAGAGCUGUGAAAUUCAAAGCACGCUGUGCCGCCCCAGGAGCAGAGCAUAAACAGAGCGGGGCUCCUCCAAAGCUGAAAUAUUUGACAACAUUUUCUAUUCUUAGCCAUCCAAGCGCACGCUCACGGAACUGAGUCGGAGCGCUGCGUGUCAGCAGGCAGCCACGGGCUGGGGAAGCGCUGCGGCUCCAGCGCACGGCUGGGGACGGUGCGGGUCGCAGCGCCGGGCUCGGAUCCGUGCUGCGCCCUCGGAACAGCGCGAGAGGCACGGAGAACGGAAACGCCGAUCGCGCUUUGGUGUCUCGCAGCCCACGAUGAGUGCUGACACCCGGGGCGCUGCAAGGGGACGGCACGGAAUUGCUGCCCGGGGAGGGAGGGAGCAUCCACUUCCACCAUCCCCGCGCACCAGCACAGGACGGGGCAGCUAAUGGCGCCCGCACGCUGCGCGUCGUUAACUGCUUCGUGGCUGCCACGCUGCCGGGAGCCGCUCGGCUCUGUGGGUUUCACGAGUUAUCCACGGUUAUUCCUUCUGCCAGCCCCGGGGACAGGCGCGCUCCCGGCUGAGGGCUGUCGCACCCUCUGCUCCUGGGGCACCGCGGCGGUGCGCGGCUUUGGGCAGCGCGGGCGGCGGGCGGUGCUGAGGGCGCUGGGCGCGGGAUGCAGAGCGGGUCAGCAGCAGCGCUCCCGUCCUCUCGUGCCGUGCGGGAAGAAAGGGGGAAAGUUUUGUUCCGAGAGGCAGGGAAAGCUGUCUCAGGCGGGCGCUAAGUGGGCCGGGGGAUCCCGCUGCCCCAGGAAUUCCCGCUGCACGUUCGCUGCGUACCCGGGCGGCGGUGGCUGCUGAUGUUAUCGCUGUCCCAGCUCGGUGACUAAGGCAGCUGGAAGGUACAAGUUAAACAGCGCGGCGCGCCGAGUCACCUGCUGCGUGGGUUUGUCCAAAGCGGAGCUGCGUUAAUUAAGACAGAGAGUUUACAAAUCUAUCCUUUGUUUAUUGUGCUUUGGGGCAUAGAAAAUGUAAAUAGGUGUUUUCAAACACUGUGGCUUUUUAUAUUUCCAGUUAUAAUUCUGCGUAAAGGGAAGUUUGUCAGGUUUGGCAUGGGCUUGCCCUUUACCAACACUCUCCUGCAGCUCACGCUCCCCUUAGGGCCGUCUGCUCUGCGCUGCUCUGCUUCCUGCAGCUUUCUCCUGACUCUGGGACAUCCCAGGUGUGUGGGGCUGUUCCCCGUCCCCUGCUCAGGGGGCCCAGCCACACUCAUCCGAGAGGAACCCGCUGCUACUCCCCAUUCCCUCCCUUUCCAACUUAGGAUGUGCUGAACAUUCUCCUCACUUCUGUUUCCGAAGGUGCUUUAUGCCCUCUUGGUUGUUUAACUGUAAAAAUAACCAAAACCUCAAGUUUGGCCUCCUAUGUACUGAUCAGGAUUUCUUCGAUGACUCACUGAUACGCUUGGGUGGUUCCCUUCGCCUUUAAUUGAAGUGAGUGUGAGCCCUCCACAAAGAGCCCUCUCGCAAAGCCCUAUUAAUAAGUGUUAACAAAAAUAACCCAGCAACCAGAAGAAAAGAGCCGCCAGCAGCAGUGAUUUCUCUCUCUGUAAGGGUGGGGUUCCUCUCCCGGCUCUCCCUGUGGCAGACAGGAAUGCAGGACAGGAGAUGACAGCUGCCCUGUGCCCAUUUGGACACAGCAUCCCUAGCAGGAGCUGCCUGGGUUGGGCUGAGGGACGCCCACAGUACCGACCCGAGGAGUCCUUCAUUUGUACAUUUGUCUCAGCUCAGGGCUCCUGCAGCCCAGGUAUUGGUGUGUUCCUCCCCCUUCACUUGUGUGUGUGUUUGUCCCAGCUCCUGCAGCCCAUUCAGAGUACUUUAUAUGCUCUGUCCUGGAUUUAUCAUAACAGAGCUCUGCAAAACUCUUUUGAUUGCAAACAGAUUUUGGCAUUACCACUCAGCUCCCACACCAGGGUUUGGAGGAAAAAAAUGACAGAUACCUGAAGGUGCAGAAACAGCUGCAAGGACAGACGCUAGCAGAAGUGCUGCUGUUUCACAAUAGGGUUGGGAGGUGGAGAAACACAGUCGGUCCUUUACACCGCCAUGCAGCACUGGGGUCCCCUCCACAUCCCUUGUGCCCCGGCACAUCGCUGCUGCAGCAAACCCAGCCUGCCCAAUCUGCUGCUGGGCCCGUCCUUUGUGUUACCGAUCAUCCAACGCCCAACAGAAUGAAAGAAGCGCCCGGCUCCCCAUCGACGGGGGAAGUAGUACGGGACAGCAUCAGUGAGGUGAGGCAGAUGGAGCCCUGCACGCAAAACUCGAGCUCUGCGGAAAACCAAGGGUGACCAACAUCAGCGUGUGUCUGUGCACGCAGUGAUGGGACAGACGCUCCCGCGGCCAAGGGCUGCGUGCGGUGGUGCAGGGCUGGGCCCGGGAACGGCAGAGAGGAGCUGCGGGCAGAAAGGGAAAGCGCUGCCAUCGACCCGGGUUCCUCGUGUCCCCGGCUCCCAGACACGCAGCCCCUUCUCUACAAGCAGAGCCGUGGCUCCGAGCCCCUCACAGCGCCGCGUCGGACCCACACGUGUGCGCUCCCGGCAGCGCCGUGGGGCAGCGGUGCCCCCGGAGCGCGGCUGAGCCCCAAUCCCGCCGCUCUCGGGGCUGCGCUUGAUGUGUGUAAACACAUAAUUGAGGGUAAGCGUACGCUUAAUUGUUUGUGGCUUCGAUUUGCAUUCGGGUGCCGC